GACGAACGCUGGCGGCGUGCCUAAUACAUGCAAGUUGAGCGAUGAAGAUUGGUGCUUGCACCAAUUUGAAGAGCAGCGAACGGGUGAGUAACGCGUGGGGAAUCUGCCUUUGAGCGGGGGACAACAUUUGGAAACGAAUGCUAAUACCGCAUAACAACUUUAAACAUAAGUUUUAAGUUUGAAAGAUGCAAUUGCAUCACUCAAAGAUGAUCCCGCGUUGUAUUAGCUAGUUGGUGAGGUAAAGGCUCACCAAGGCGAUGAUACAUAGCCGACCUGAGAGGGUGGUCUGCCACAUUGGGACUGAGACACGGCCCAAACUCCUACGGGGGGCAGCAGUAGGGAAUCUUCGGCAAUGGACGAAAGUCUGGCCGGGCAACGCCGCGUGAGUGAAGAAGGUUUUCGGAUCGUAAAACUCUGUUGGUAGAGAAGAACGUUGGUGAGAGUGGAAAGCUCAUCAAGUGACGGUAACUACCCAGAAAGGGACGGCUAACUACGUG
rnacentral:rRNA from 1 species